rnacentral:rRNA from 1 species
AUUGAACGCUGGCGGCAUGCCUUACACAUGCAAGUCGAACGGCAGCACGGGAGCAAUCCUAGUGGCGAGUGGCGAACGGGUGAGUAAAGUAUCGGAACGUGCCCAGUCGUGGGGGAUAACGUAGCGAAAGUUACGCUAAUACCGCAUACGAUCUAUGGAUGAAAGCGGGGGAUCGCAAGACCUCGCGCGAUUGGAGCGGCCGAUAUCAGAUUAGGUAGUUGGUGGGGUAAAGGCUCACCGAGCCGACGAUUUGUAGCUGGUCUGAGAGGACGACCAGCCACACUGGGACUGAGACACGGGCCAGACUCCUACGGGAGGCAGCAGUGGGGAAUUUUGGACAAUGGGCGAAAGCCUGAUCCAGCCAUGCCGCGUGCAGGAUGAAGGCCUUCGGGUUGUAAACUGCUUUUGUACGGAACGAAAAGGUUUGGCCUAAUAAGCUGAGCUCAUGACGGUACCGUAAGAAUAAGCACCGGCUAACUACGUGCCAGCAGCCGCUGUAA